AGAGUUUGAUCCUGGCUCAGGACGAACGCUGGCGGCGUGCUUAACACAUGCAAGUCACGGGGGCCCGCAAGGGUAACCGGCGAACGGGUGCGUAACACGUGAACAAUCUGCCUAGAUGUGGGGGAUAGCCGGCCCAACGGCCGGGUAAUACCGCAUACGCUCUUCGGGUGGCAUCACUUGAAGAGGAAACCUCCGGGGCAUCUAGAGGAGUUCGCGGCCUAUCAGCUAGUUGGUGGGGUAACGGCCUACCAAGGCAAUGACGGGUAGCUGGUCUGAGAGGAUGGCCAGCCACAUUGGGACUGAGAUACGGCCCAGACUCCUACGGGAGGCAGCAGUGGGGAAUAUUGCGCAAUGGCCGAAAGGCUGACGCAGCGACGCCGCGUGGGGGAUGAAGCAUUUCGGUGUGUAAACCCCUGUUGCCCGGGACGAACAAGCGAUUUUGAUCGCUCUGACGGUACCGGGUGAGGAAGCACCGGCUAACUCCGUGCCAGCAGCCGCGGUAAUACGGAGGGUGCGAGCGUUGUCCGGAAUCACUGGGCGUAAAGGGCGCGUAGGCGGUCUGCUAAGCGUGUGGUGAAAGCUCGGGGCUCAACCCCGAGUCUGCCAUGCGAACUGGUGGACUAGAGCACUGUAGAGGCAGGUGGAAUUCCGGGUGUAGCGGUGGAAUGCGUAGAGAUCCGGAAGAACACCAGUGGCGAAGGCGGCCUGCUGGGCAGUAGCUGACGCUGAGGCGCGAUAGCGUGGGGAGCAAACAGGAUUAGAUACCCUGGUAGUCCACGCCGUAAACGAUGGGGACUAGGUGCUUGGGGGAGCGACCCCUCGAGUGCCGGCGCUAACGCAUUAAGUCCCCCGCCUGGGGAGUACGACCGCAAGGU
rnacentral:rRNA from 1 species